GGAAGAGAAUCCAGCAGUGUUUUAUCUUUCCAUGAGAUGUGAAUGAGACUGGAAAGACCAACAUUUGUUGCCCAUCCCAAACUACCUUUGAACCGACUGCUAUUUCAGAGGGCAGGACUGACCGUGACCAAUUCCUGAACUGAAGGGGUGCCAAGCUGCAGACUUGAAUUGGACUCUCUGCCUGACCAGUGUUCUCUUCAGCUGCAUGGCUGUUCAGCUAUUCUGAAGUUUCACUGAGGUUCCAUACACGCCAGUCAGCAUGCUGACACAUUGACCUCUGAAAAUCAAAAAUAACAUGCCUUAUAACCCAACAGGUUAUGAUGCCUACAGAGAUCACAUCAUACACGAAUGCUUAAAGAAGCAUGCCUGUGUAAUAUCUGCCACAGCUCAGUUGGUAAAACUUGGCUCUGAGUCAGAAGAUCAUGGAUUCAGCUCACACUCUGGGAUUUGAGCAGAGAAAAACCAAGGUCGACAAUCCAGUGAAAUACUGAUGGAGGAUUGCAGUGUUGGAAAUGUCACCUUUGGAAUGAGACGUUAAACUGAGACUCCAUCUGUUC